AUUUCAAAUUGUUCUAAGGAAGAAGACACUGUAGACGACAGUUUCUCUAAAAUUUUUUUUUUACUUUUUAUUUUACUUUCACGGUUUCCUUUUU
rnacentral:sRNA from 1 species